CACUGUGGGGUGCACAUGUGUAUUUAGACCUCUUUGUAUGGCCUUUGCUGGAUGAUUGCUCUUGUUCAUACUGCUGGUUGUUUAAUCUCAAAAUUAGUUGUUUAAGGCAUUUGCAAAACCAAUAAAUGGUGCCAUAUUCAUUUUCAACCCAAGGACAGAGCUGCUGUUUUUAAAGGUAAUCCACACUAGUUUAUGGGCGGGGCAGAAACUUCAGCUGUCAUGGGAACUGUCCACACUUGCUCAGAGGCUCAAGCAGAUCAUGAGCAUCUUAAGAGGAAUUUAGAUAUCUGCUACGCCUACCUACACAAAGAUGCGAAGAUGAGAGCUGCAGCCUACAAGAGUCAUUGAAGCAUUUGUUUGAUGCCACUAGUUGGAUGCUCAGUUGGUGUGAGCACAAGAUAUCUUGCCGAUAAAUAUCCUUCUGGCAGAGUUACUGUGAAUACAUGGAAUUGAUGCCCUUCAAGAAAUUAUAUCGUAUGAACUAGUUGAUAUUGGGGAAAUCUGACAAUAAGAGUUUAUCCGUCUACUACAAUUCUUAAUAUCAUCCCUCUACUUGUUGAAAACGUUGGGCUGAUCUUUACGAAGGGAGAUUUGAAGGAAGUGAGUGAGGAGGUUGCUAAUUAGUACAAGGUCGGAGCUCCUGCUCAUGUU